rnacentral:rRNA from 1 species
UACGAAGGGGGCGAGCGUCGUUCGGAAUUACUGGGCGUAAAGGGCGCGUAGGCGGCGACCCAAGUCAGAUGUGAAAGUCCUGGGCUUAACCUGGGGACUGCAUUUGAUACUGGGUUGCUUGAAUUCGGGAGAGGAUAGCGGAAUUCCCAGUGUAGAGGUGAAAUUCGUAGAUAUUGGGAAGAACACCGGUGGCGAAGGCGGCUAUCUGGACCGACAUUGACGCUGAGGCGCGAAAGCGUGGGGAGCAAACAGG